CUCUCCUGACAAUGAGCAAAGAGACACCUUGUUUCAGAUGGUGUUCUUAUAUCAGUCAGGGGCAGAGAAGAUGGCAGUCCUUUGUUCAUCCUAGCUUGAUGCCUGGCUUGAUGGUCUAAGCUGUCUUAUGCCUAGGACUCAUAA